AAGGUUUCUUUAUGUUGGAUUAUGGAGAAGGUGAGAACUUGAUUUUACUUUAUCAAAAUAGAGCAAAAUUUAUAAACAAAGACAAAUUUAAAGAUGAAGAGAAAAACAUAAAUUUCAUUCCAUAUAGCAAGCAUAAAAUAAAGAUGCUUUCUUUCUCUAUUUCUUCUUCAUUUUCUAAUCAAAUUAACUACACUAAGUUAGGCAAUUUUGAAGGACCUUCAUAUUGAUAAAAAAAAAAUAAAAAACUAAAAAGAUCCCCAAUGACAAUGAAUUGCUUAUAACAUAUUCUUUUUACAUGAUAAAUAUUGAGAUAUGUAAGUUAAAAUAUUCUUUGCAUCGUUUUCGCGGGUUAAAGCCUUCUUUAGAAAAAAGUACAGGAAGCCUUUCUCUUUAUCAGAG
rnacentral:misc_RNA from 1 species